rnacentral:lncRNA from 10 species
UUUUAAUCGUUUGAAAACUGUUUUGUAGUACAAUUGGCUUUCUUUAAAAUCCUGUGUAUUUUUUAAAAGCUUUUAAAAAUACAAUUUUGAAAAGGGCUCCAUGGGCUUCAUGCUGGGGCCAGAGGGCUCCCUGGGAGCUAAAAGAUGAAGAAGCCGCGGAAAUUCGCCAUCUGGGAGGAGACCACCGUCGGGUGCCCGCCAUCCCCUUCCGCCGGAACUCCACUAAAGAGGACUAGGUGUUAGCGCUGGCGCGGGAGGCCGGAGCAAGGUCUUUAAAGGUCUAAGGUGAAAUUCCGGGUGGGAGCUCAGUCAAGCCUCCCCUACCCAACUGGGAAUCAGUGCGCCAACCGGAGCACGCCCCCCAGGCGACACCGAGAGGCGCGGAACUCCCAAGCCUAGAGGGCGUCGGAAGUGCAUCCCAGAGCGGAGCAGCCAGAGGGGCGGGGCGUCGCGGCGCUGGGGCCGCGCCCUCGGGUAUCCAGAGUACGGCUCUUCCAGGCCAUGUUGAUGACCCAGGGUGGAAGCCAUUGGAGAGUUUUGAGAGAAGAAGGAGGUAUUUUUUUUUUUUUUUUUUGAGACGGAGUUCUCACUCUAUCUCCCAGGCUGGAGUGCAGUGGCACGAUCACGGCUCACCGCAACCGAGGGAGUGGCGAUGUAAGAUUCUGGGAAAUAUGAAUCUUUUUUUCAAAUCUUCAACAGAGCUUUAUGCAUCAAUAUGCUAAUGAGGUAAAUUGCACUACUAGUCAUUUCCAUAAAGUAUCUCUAAUUCUUUUCAAAACCUUGCAAAAUAGAUAAUAGUUCUUGCUUUGUUACUGAGGAGAUUGUGGCUCAGAAAGGCUAAGCAAUCAUCCAAGCUUGGCAUUAUUUACUGCCAACUCUCUCAGACCUCUUCACCGUUCCAUACCAUGUCCAAAUCAUCAACAUGUUUUGCCUAGAUUGCUGUGACAGCUUAGUCUAUUGCUCAUGCAGCAGCCAUACUCACACACACACAUAUAUAAAACACCUUAGAUUGUGCCAUUUCUUUGCUCGAAACUCUAAUGGCACCAGGCAUGGUGGCUGAUGCCUGUAAUCCCAGCACUUUGGGAGGCCGAGGCGGGCUGAUCACUUGAGGCCAGGAGGUUGAGAUCAGCCUGGCCAAUAUGGCAAAACCCCGUCUCUUCUAAAAAUGCAAAAUAAUAAUAAUAAUAAAAUUAGCCGGGCCUGGUGGUAGGUGCCUGUAAUACCAGCUACUCGGGAGGCUGAGGCAGGAGAAUCGGGGGCGGAGGUUGCAGUGAGCAGAGAUUGCGCCACUGCACUCUAGCCUGGGUAACAGAGUGAGACUCCAUUUCAAAAAAAAAUGCAGAGACACGGCCGGGCGUGGUGGCGCACGACUGUAAUCCCAGCACUUUGAGAGGCUGAGGCGGGUGGAUCACCUGAGGUCAGGAGUUCGAGACCAGCAUGGCCAACAUGGUGAAACUCCGUCUCUACUAAAAAUACAAACAUUGGCCGGGUGUGGUGGCGCGCGCCUGUAGUCCCAGGUACUCGGAGGCUGAGGCAGAAGAAUCGUUUGAACCCGGGAGGUGGAAGUUGCAGUGAGCCAAGAUCACACCACUGCACUCCAGUCUGGAAGACAGAGUGAGACUCUGUCUGGGAAAAAAAAAAAAAAAAAAAAAAAGCAGACACCAACACCUAGACUACGCUGACCAUUUGAAAAAGAAAUUACAGGUAUAAUAAGGACUAAGAAGAAACAAAAUUGUUUGUAUACACAGAAUAUAUGGUUGUCUAUGUAAAAAAAACAAACAAACCCAC